ACCAGAGAUCUCUGCAACUGCAUCCGAAAUCCCAAAGACUCAAAUAAAAACAAAAUAAAGGAGCCUCAUCGCCAUGGACAGUGACUGUUGCUGCUGCUGUGUGUGAAUUUCGAUUCGGUCUGGCGUCUGUUCUGCGUCAGAGGUUGGAGCUAUGAAGCUGCACAGCUUCGUCGUCACCCAUGAAGUGACGGAUCAUAAAUUUUGUGAGUUGCCUUGAGAGCACAUAAACGGAAGACAAUGAAAGAUAUUUGUACAUAUGAUUUGACAAUGUGAAGAACUUUUGACUAUAUCGAUAGUCACGGGUCUAUAUAUGGCAAAUUAAGCACUAACAAUUUGAAUUCCCAUUAAUUGAAUGAAGUAUUUCACAAUCUUGGAAAAUUACUUAUAAUUUUCAUUGAAUACUCACCUCACUUGAAGCACGUUCAAAAUAUAAAAAUCAAUUUUAUUGUUGGUUCUUUUAGAUUUUCGAAUCGAAAUACUCUUGUUUUGUUU